rnacentral:misc_RNA from 1 species
CUGAGUUAGGGUCUCUCAAGGCCCGACCUCCUACCCUGUGUCUACCUUACCACGUUGCUUCGGCGGGCCUGUCGACAAGACUUGUCGGCUACCGGCAGGCUUAAACCCCUGCUGGAAAGUGCCCGCCGAUGGCCAACCUACAAAACUCUUGAAGAAACAUGUCGUCUGAGUAUCAAAUUAAAUAAAGCA